ACUAGCCUAUAGGAUCAUCUAAAGUUUAAUUAACUGAAGCUAAUAACCAUGAAAAUAACUGAACAUUUGACAAUAUUAAGUAGGCUAGCCAACCUAUAGCAGUGUGUAAAGUAUUAGUACACAUCAUUGCUUUGGUUACUAGCCUAUAGGAUCAUCUAAAGUUUAAUUAACUGAAGCUAAUAACCAUGAAAAUAACUGAACAUUUGACAAUAUUAAGUAGGCUAGCCAACCUACAGCAGUGUGUAAAGUAUUAGUACACAUCAUUGCCCUGGUUACUAGCCUAUAGGAUCAUUAAAGUUUAAUUAAUUGAAGCUAAUAACCAUGAAAAUAACUGAAUAUUUAACAAUAUUAAGUAGGCUUAGCCAACCUAUAGCAGUGUGUAAAUUAUUAGUACACAUCAUUGCCCUGGUUACUAGCCUAUAGGAUCAUCUAAAGUUUAAUUAAUUGAAGCUGAUAACCAUGAAAAUAACUGAUAACCAAUGGCCACAUCCUUACCAUAAGUGUGUUCAGACAAAAGCAUGCACACACACAUAUAUAUACAUGUUCCACAAGAUGCAAGUAAAAAACAUUGGAUAAAUGAUAAAGAAUAAAUUAACAUGUCUAAGUGAAAACCUUUUUACUCUAUUUUGUGCAACAUUUCUUUUGAGCAGACACCCUUCAUCAGGCAGUAAAGACUGUGUUACAAUGGAAUAAGGUCACAUAUCAACCUAGCAAAAAAACUACCACAACAAAUAACCUGUCAGCAGGCCCUCUCACAGGUUCAGACACUUUAAGCUUUUGAGGCCCCUGGUCAUAAUAAAAAUAACAAAUGACAAAAUACACAAAAAUUAGGACCAUCAUUAGCUCGAAAAACAAUUGUCUAAAUUGGAGGCCCCCCUUUGAGCUUGAGGCCCAGGCCAAAUGGCCCUCCCCUCUGAUUUUCCUUGCCUGUCAGUCUAAGAACCUGUAAAAACAUCAAGCAGAUGGUAUCAUACAUUAAAUCAGAUGUGACCUAACAAAUAGUAUGAAUGUCAGUCUAAGAACCAAUAAAAACAAAAACAAAUGAGUAUAACCCAACAUCAGGUCAGAAACCAAUAAAAAAAAACAAAGUGAGUAUAACCCAACAUCAAGUUAGAAACCAAUAAAAAAUAAACAAGUGAGCAUAACCCAACAUCAAGUCAGAAACCAAC